rnacentral:rRNA from 1 species
GUGACCUACGGGAGGCAGCAGUGAGGAAUAUUGGUCAAUGGGCGGAAGCCUGAACCAGCCAGGUCGCGUGAGGGAGGACGGCCCUACGGGUUGUAAACCUCUUUUGCCGGGGAGCAACGGGCGUCACGUGUGGCGCCACUGAGAGUACCCGGAGAAAAAGCAUCGGCUAACUCCGUGCCAGCAGCCGCGGUAAUACGGAGGAUGCGAGCGUUAUCCGGAUUUAUUGGGUUUAAAGGGUGCGCAGGCGGCGUGUCAAGCAAGCGGUAAAAUAGCGGGGCUCAACCCCGUCGAGCCGUUCGAACUGG